GUAGGUGGCAAGCGUUGUCCGGAAUUAUUGGGCGUAAAGCGCGCGCAGGCGGUUCCUUAAGUCUGAUGUGAAAGCCCACGGCUCAACCGUGGAGGGUCAUUGGAAACUGGAGAACUUGAGUACAGAAGAGGAAAGCGGAAUUCCACGUGUAGCGGUGAAAUGCGUAGAGAUGUGGAGGAACACCAGUGGCGAAGGCGGCUUUCUGGUCUGUAACUGACGCUGAGGCGCGAAAGCGUGGGGAGCAAACAGGAUUAGAUACCCUGGUAGUCCACGCCGUAAACGAUGAGUGCUAAGUGUUAGGGGGGUUUCCGCUCCUUAGUGCUGCAGCUAACGCAUUAAGCACUCCGCCUGGGAGUACGGCCGCAAGGCUG
rnacentral:rRNA from 1 species